rnacentral:lncRNA from 1 species
ACUUCGGGCCCCGGGAAACAUCAUCCGGAAUAGCCCUACAUGCUGUUUGUGGCUAGGUCUCAUUAUCAUUACGAGGGAGUCGCCAUAAACCGGCUCUCCUAGUUAUGUCUAUGUAACACCCAUGAUGCGGCUAUAUGUCCCACGUGUCGGAGCACGAUUUAGAGGCAUAACUGCAUUGUAGGCAUGUCGCAAGAGGGGUAAUCUUUACACAUCCCAUGUACUCAAUAAGAAAGAGGUACAGAGUUGGCUUACAAUCGCCACUUCACACAAUACAUAAGUAUAGCAUUACAUCAUCCAGAUACAAUCAAGGGCCGACUACAGAACCAAAAUAAAGACAACGCCAAAUGCAUAAGAUCCCUGAUUGCCCCAACUGGGCUCCACUACUGAUCGUCUGGAAAGGAAACAUAGUAACGUCCUGAGUCCUCGUCGAACACCCACUUGAGUUCAGUCGCAUCCCCAGGAAUGGCAUCAUCGACACCUGCAUCUGGUUUUGGAAGUAAUCUGUGAGUCACGGGGACUCAACAAUCUCACACCCUCGUGAUCAAGACUAUUUAAGCUUAUGGGUAGGCAAAGGUUGUGAGGUGGAGCUGCAGCAAGCACUAACAUAUAUGGUGGCUAACUUACGCAAAUGAGAGCAAGAAGAGAAGGCAAAGCACGUUCAAGUAUACAUGAUCAAGAAGUUAUCCUAGAACUACUUACGUUCAAGCAUAACACGAGACCAUGUUCUCUUCUCGAACUCCGCCGAAAAGAGACCAUCAUGGCUACACACGCUGUUGAUUCAUUUUAAUUAAGUUGAGUUUCAGGUUUUCUACAACCUGAUAUUAACAAAUUCCCAUCUGCCCAUAACCACGGGCACGGCUUUCAAAAGUUCAAAACCCUGCAGGGGUGUCCCAACUUAGCCCAUCACAAGCUCUCAUGGUCAACGAAGGAUAUUCCUUCUCCCAGGACGAUCCGAUCAGACUCAGAAUCCCGGUUACAAGACAUUUCGACCAUGGUAAAACAAGACCAGCAAAGCCAUCCGAAUGUGCCGACAAAUCCCGAUAGGAGCUGCACAUAUCUCGUUCUUAGGGCACACCGGAUGGGCAAGACGUCGGGUUGGCAUAGACCCUGGUUGCCCAGGGGGCGCCGGACAUCGCCCAGUUUGGACCAACACUUAGAGAAGCACUGGCCCGGGGGGUUUAAAUAAAGAUGACCCUUGAGUCCGCGAAACCCAAGGGAAAAAGGCUAGGUGACAAAUGGUAAAACCAAGGUUGGGCCUUGCUGGAGGAGUUUUAUUCAAGGAGAACUGUCAAGGGGUUCCUAUUAUAACCCAACCGCGUAAGGAACGCAAAAUCAAGGAACAUAACACCAGUAUGACGGAAACUAGGGCGGCAAGGGUGGAACAAAACACCAGGCAUAAGGCCGAGCCUUCCACCCUUUACCAAGUAUAUAGGUGCAUUAAAGUAAACAAGAUAUAAUAAUGAUAUCCCAACAAUAAUCAUGUUCCAACAAGGAACAAACUUCAAUCUUCACCUGCAACUAGCAACGCUAUAAGAGGGGCUGAGCAAAGCGGUAACAUAGCCAAAAAACGGUUUGCUAGGACAAGAUGGGUUAGAGGUUUGACAUGGCAAUAUGGGAGGCAUGAUAUAGCAAGUGGUAGGUAUCACGGCAUAGGCAUAGCAAUAAGGCAAGCAACUAGCAAGCAAAGAUAGAAGUGAUUUCGAGGGUAUGGUCAUCUUGCCUGCAAAGUUCUCCGAGUUGACGUAAGCUUGAUCCUCGUAACCGUACUCAACGGGUUCCUCGAUCACGUACUCGUCUCCCGGCUCUACCCAAAGCAAGAACACAAGCAAAGGGAACCACAAUCAACCACGGUGUAAUGCGCAAGCAACAUGAUGCAAAAUAUGUCAUGAUAUGCGGGAUGUAAAAUGCAAUGCAUAUGCGUGCUCCCGAAGGAAAAGAUUGAACCAGGCCUCAACUUGGCAAACCAAGAGCGCUGCUGGAAAGAUGAGUUGAUUUCGGUCGAAAUCGAUAUAAAGAUCACCGGAAUCGGAUGCACGGUUUGCAAAUGGCAAGCAAAACAAUAAUGGCACAAUUCUGCGAUUAACAGCACGAUGCCAUCUAGAAUGCAACAAGAAAUUAAGCUACUGCACUCUAACAUAGCAGCAAAGCACAUGGCAGUGAUCCACUCAAGAUGCUUGACAAAAGAUGAACACUAAGCUAUGGCUAAAUCACACAAUAGCAGGUUCAAAGAAGCAUGGCAAAAGUGCAAAAGAUAACAGCAUCACAGACUUAGUGGAAAUAACAACAUGACAUGAUUUAACAUCAGGAAGCAAUGUUUAGAGAAAGAUAACGACAUGCUACAGAAACAUAUCAUGGCAAAGCAAGGCCUGGAAUGAAACUACUCAAAGCAUAUAAGAAAAGUCCCUUACUGACCAUAAGCCAAAAAGGAUAAGAAAAUAUGAUGGUACCCAUGUAAACAUAGCAAGUUUCAUUAACAGAUUCAGACUUAGCAGAAAACUGGACAUGGCAAAAACAGAGUUACGUAGGCAUGUUUGCGAGCUCGAUGCACUCACCGCAAGGCAUUGCAUGACAAACUAAGCAUACACCCAGCAUAAAGACAUGAUCAAGAAGCUAAACAUGGCAAGAACAACCUAAUAGCAUGCAUGGAUCAACUACAACAACCUUCGCAAAAUUGAAUAACAUGUAAAUAAUCUGCCAGGAACAUUUUAUAGCAAAAGUAGAGCAAGAUUGAGCUAUGCUAGGGUACUCCAUAAUUGCAAACAAAGACAUGGAUGGAUAGAACAUAACAACACCUCAAAAUAAUCCUUACUGAACAUGCUCAAAAGAGGCAUGGAUCACUCUGUAGCACCAUGAAUACGUGCCAUAAAAAUAACAUCAGGGAAAUGACUUGGAAGAAUUCUAAGUCCCUGAAAUCAGCAACAUCACGAGAGCUACUUUGCAUGCUUGUGCUAGUCACCACAUUGAUCACAAAAAUACAUGGCAUACACCCAUAUAAAGAUGGCAUGGCAUAGCCCAAAACACAUGUAGGGCUCAACUUCAUAGGAGGCACACAAUAAUCAUGGCAAAAAUGACAAAUGUCCAUAAUCUGUGAAGAAAUAGAAACUAACAUUAUAUAGCACUCUUGCAAUAGCAUUUUAGCCAUCAAAAUGGACUCAAACUAGCAUGGUGCAAUGGAACAAAAUGAAGAGCACAUCCAGACGAACAAUUUGAUAUAUGGCACGCCCAAAAUGGAGCUACAGAUGCAAAGAUAUGGCAUGAUGAAUGAAGCAUAAAAAUAACCAGAAAAGGGAACUUAGGAAAAUUCAUGUCGCGAAAAAACGGGACGGAGAGAAGCGGGAUGAGGUGUAACACCCCGGAUGUAAUUUACCUUAUACCUAUCCCAACUCUUGCCGUUUCCGGCACUAAGUUAUUCUAUUUCCUCGUUGUCGGGUUUUUGUCUCCGUGUGUUGUUGUCUUUGUCAUGCAUCUCAUAUCAUGUCAUCAUGUGCAUUGCAUUUGCAUACGUGUUCGUCUCAUGCAUCCAAGUAUUUUCCCCGUUGUCCAUUUUGCAUUCCGGCGCUCCUAUGUCCUCCGGUGGUCCUUUCUACCUCUUUUCGUGUGAGGGUAUUAAACGUUUUCGGAUUGGACCGAGACUAGUCAUGCGGCCUUGGUUUACUACCGAUAGACCGCCUGUCAAGUUUCGUACCAUUUGGACUUCGUUUGAUACUCCAACGGUCAACCGAGGGACCGAAAAGGCCUCGUGUGUGUUGCAGCCCAACACCCUUACAAACUGGCCCAAAACCCACCUAAACCUGUUCAAUCAUCUAGAGCGUUCGAUCACGAUCGUGUGGCCACAAACCGCACCUCAUUUGGAGCUUCCUAGCCUCCUCUACCUCUAUAUAAAGGACACCCCCUAAAAAUUCACGGUUCAUUCCCCCCUAACCCUAGUCCAUUAGCACCUCCGCCGUCGGACAAUGACCCCCGCCUAGCGGACAUCAUCGCCGCCGCCAACCGCGACCUGCCACCUGUCGCCCGCCUCCUCUCACUCUGUCGUGGCCCGCAAGGCCCGCCGCGGGCCCUCCCCGGCCCAAGGUGCGCGCCGCCGCCUCCUCUCACCGAGCCGCCCCGCUCCUCCACCGGGCGCCACCUCGUCGCCGCAGUUUUCCCGCGCCGGCCACCGCCCACCGGCGCCCUCAACCUUGCCGGCGCCCCGCCGUCUGCCGCCUCCGCCGCGCCGGGCCUCCACCUCGCCACCCGGAGCUCCUCCACAACGCCCCGGCGAGCUCCACACCGGAUCCGGCCGGCUCCUCCUCCACUUGGCAAGUCCGGCAACCCUCCGGCAAGUUCUUUGAUUCCGGCGAUGAACCUCGGGGUCCGCGCCCGCCAGAUCUCAGAUCUGGAAAUAUCUUCUCGGUUGACUUUUUCCCUCAGCAACCCUAGAUUUUUGCAUUUUUUGCAUGCCAUAACUUUGCAUCCGUAGCUCCGAUUCAUGCGUGUAGCAUAUCAAAUUGUUUGUCUCGGCGAGUACAUCCUUUCAUCUCAUUGCAUCAAUUUCAUUUGAGCUCAUCUUGCUGCCCGAAAUGCUGUUGGAAGAGGGCUAUAUGAUGAAUUUAUCAGAUCUGUUUCAGCAAAUGGCCUUUUGUCAUUUUUGCCAUGGUUAAUGUGUGCAUGCUAUGAUCCUGAGCUCUACAUGUGUUUUGUAGAAUGCCAUGCCAUCUUUACAGGGGUAUAUGCCAUGUAUUUUUGUGAUCUAUGUGGUGACUAGCACAAGCAUGCAAAGUAGCGUAAUCCUUGAUGUUGAUUUCAGGGACUUAGAAUUUCACCAAGUCCUUGUCCUGUUUUUGUUUUUAUGCCAUAUGUUCAUGUUGUUUCCUAGUGAUACGUGCCUCUUUUGAGGAUGAUCAGUAAGAAUGUUUCGUUAAUAUUGUGGUGCUCUAUCCAUCCAUGCCUUUGUUUGCAAUUAUGGAGCACCCUAGCUUGAGUCAAUCGAGCUCUACUUUUGCUAGAAAAUGUUCCUGGCAGAUUGUUGACAUGUUUAGCGAUUUUGCCGAGGAUGUUGCUAUUGAUCCGUGCAUGCUAUGUUGUUGUUCUUGCCAUGACUAGAUUCUAUGCCAUGUCUUCUUGAUGGGUUUAUGCUUAGUUUGUCAUGCCAUGCUCUGUAGUGAGUGCAUCGAGCUCGUAAACAUGCCUACUCGUUAACUGUUUUGCAUGCUCCAGUUUUUCACUAAGUCUGAAUCUGUUUAUGUUUUUGCUAUGUUCACAUGCUUGCAAAUGUAUUUUCUGAUCCCUUUUGGCUCAAGGUAACUAAGGGACUUUUGUUAUAUGCUUAGAGUAGCUUCAUGCCAUGCCUUGCUUUGCCAUGAUAUGUUCCUGUAGCAUGUAGUUUUCAUGCUCUAAAGAUUGCUUCCUGGUGAUAAAUUCCAGACUUGUGUUAAUUUCACUAAGUCUGAAACCUGUUAUCAUUUGCACUUUUGCCAUGCUUGUUUGAACCUGUUAAUGGAUGAAUUAGCCAUAGCUUAGUGUUCAUCUUUUGUCAAUCAUCAUGAGUGGAUCCCUGCCAUGUAUUGUGUUGUCAUGUUUGAGUGUUGUAGCAUAUUUAUCUUGAUGCAUUUAGAUGGCUACUUGAUGUUUAUCGCAGAUCGGUGCCAUAUUUGUUUCGCUUGCCAUUUCCAAACCGUGCAUCCGAUUCCGGUGAUCUUUAUAUCGAUUUCAACCGAAAUCACCUCACCUUUCCAGUGGCACUCUUGGAUUUCCAAGUUGAGGCCAGGUUCAAUCAUUCCUUUGCAAAUCUUGCAUAUGCAUCACAUAUCGCAUCCCGCAUAGCAUACCAUGUUUGCAUCAUGUUGCUUGAGCAUUGCACGUUGUUGAUUGUGAUACUUUUGCUUGUUGUUCUUGUUUGGGUAGAGCAGGGAGACGAGUUCGUGAACGGGGAGCCCGUUGAGUUCUCUUACGAGGAUCAAGGCAACUCUGAGUAUUUUGCAGGCAAGAUGACCAUACCCUCGAAAUCACUUCUAUCUUUUCUUGCUAGAUGCUCGCUCUUUUGCUAUGCCUAUGCUACGAUACCUACUACUUGCUGAUCAUGCCUCCCAAAUUUUCAUGUCAAACCUCUAACCCACCAUGUCCUAGCAAACCGUUGUUUGGCUAUGUUACCGCUUUGCUCAGCCCCUCUUAUAGCGUUGCUAGUUGCAGGUGAAGAUUGGAGAUAGUUCCUUUUUGGAACAUGUUUAUUGUUAGGAUAUCACCAUAUUAUCUUGUUAUCUUAAUGCAUCUAUAUACUUGGUAAAGGGUGGAAGGCUCGGCCAUAUGCCUAGUGUUUUGUUCCACUCUUGCCUCCCUAGUUUCCGUCAUAUCGGUGUUAUGUUCCCGGAUUUUGCGUUCCUUCCACGGUUGGGUUAUAAUGGGAACCCCUUGACAGUUCGCUUUGAAUAAAACUCCUCCAGCAAUGCCCAACCUUGGUUUUACCAUUUGCCACCUAGCCUCUUUUUCCCUUGGGUUUCCGGAGCCCAAGGGUCAUCUUUAUUUAACNNNNNNNNNNNNNNNNNNNNNNNNNNNNNNNNNNNNNNNNNNNNNNNNNNNNNNNNNNNNNNNNNNNNNNNNNNNNNNNNNNNNNNNNNNNNNNNNNNNNNNNNNNNNNNNNNNNNNNNNNNNNNNNNNNNNNNNNNNNNNNNNNNNNNNNNNNNNNNNNNNNNNNNNNNNNNNNNNNNNNNNNNNNNNNNCCCGGGCCAGUGCUCCUCUGAGUGUUGGUCCACCUCGUCAGCCGCCGGUGGCCACCAGGGGCAACUCUGGGCUGGCCUACCGGAAGUCUGGACAAUCUGAAUGUGCCCUGAGAACGAGAUUUGUGCAGCUCCUAUCGGGAUUUGUCGGCACAUUCGGGCGGUGUUGCUGGACUUGUUUUACCAUUGUCGAGGAUGUCUUGUAACCGGGAUGCCGAGUCUGAUCGGAAUGUCUCGGGAGAAGGAAUAUCCUUCAUUGACCGUGAGAGCUUGUGAUGGGCUAAGUUGGGACUCCCCUGCAGGGAUUUGAACUUUCGAAAGCCGUGCUCGCGGUUAUGGGCAGAUGGGAAUUUGUUAAUGUCAGGUUGUAGAUAACAUGAAACUUAACUUAAUUAAAAUACACCAACCGCGUGUGUUACCGUGAUGGUCUUUUCUCGGCGGAGUCCGGGAAGUGAACACAGUGUUGGAGUAAUGCUUGACGUAGGUUGUUCUAGGAUCACUUCUUGAUCAUAGUUGUUCGACCGUGCUUUUGCCUUCUCUUCUCGCUCUCUUUUGCGCAUAUGUUAGCCACCAUAUAUGCUAGUCGCUUGCUGCAGCUCCACAUCAUACCUUGCCUUACCUAUAAGCUUAAAUAGUCUUGAUCGCGAGGGUGCGAGAUUGCUGAGUCCCCGUGACUCACAGAUUCCUUCCUAAACCAGAUGCAGGGACCGAUGAUACCGCUCCAGACGAUGCGCUUAAGCUCAAGUGGGAGUUCGAUGAAGACUCUCGUCGUUGCUAUGUGUCUUUCCCAGAUGAUCAGUAGUGGUACCCAGUUGGGGCGAUCAGGGACUUUGUCGCAUUUGGGGGUUGAUCUUUAUUUUGGUACCAUAGUCGGACCAUGAGUGUAUUGGAUGAAUGUAAUGUUAUUCAUGUAUUUCUGUGACAUGGCGAGUGUAAGCCAACUAUGUAUCUUUCCCCCUUUAAUUAUUUACAUGGGUUGUUGUGAAGAUUACCUCACUUGCGACAUUGCUUUCAAUGCAGUUAUGCCUCUAAGUCGUGCUUCGACACGUAGGAGAUAUAGCCGCAUCGAGGGUGUUACAAGUUGGUAAUCAGAGCCUUCCCCGACCUUAGGAGCCCCCUGCUUGAUCGAAUCGUUGGCGUUGUUGAGUCUAGAAAAAUGUUUUGAGUCAUUUAGGAAUUAUAUAUAUCGGAGAGUUAGGAAUUCUUUUUACUCCGCAGUCCCUUCGUCGUUCUGGUGAGGCAUCCUGACGUAGAGUUUUGACUCUUCUCUUCUCAAAUUUCACUAAAAAAAAUUAGGAUCACGCGGGUAUCUUGGAAUCGUUCCGAUGGUUUUGUGACGAGAACAUUGUUCUUGGUGCCUCCUGACAUUUAGGGGUUGUGGCAGUGUCCCGGGGAGUUGAGCUCCGAGGUGUUGUCGUCACAAUUUUAUCGUGCAGAUUCUGGAGUACCUGAGUUUUUGCCGACAUCGAAAAUCUCUUUUAUGCAGUUGUUGGUGAGACAACCUCGACGCCACCCAGUACUGGGGCGGGAGUUCGGGAGUAUUGCCAUAACUUGUAUAAUGGAUGCUUUUCGAAGGUUGAGGUAAAUGAUUUCCAAAGUUUUCUUGCUUAUGUGUUGAAGGAUGGAUACAGCUGGAUGUAGGAUUUGCUAGCUUUGGGUGAUAUAUUAUGCUUCCCCUGUAUCCCCAACACCUGAUUGCAUAACCGAGAAGGUUCGGGAGUUUCAUAGGUGGGAAUUCUUGUAGCUCUAGUUCUUCUUCCGCGGAUAUUUGGUUUGGGAUUGGGUAAUCCUCACCAAGUAUUUGUUCUUGUCCGUACCUUGUUUUUAUUCUUCUACCUCAAUUCUAAGUGGCUUCUCAAUUUAUGGAAAUGUGACCAUUUCAAUUGGAAUGCAUUCAUUCAUUUUGUUUGGAUGUGAAGACUUUAUGUUGCAAUUUCAAACCUUUUGAUUCAGCUUCAUUUUUGCAUGCCAAUGUGCUGAUGGAUGUCACCCUCUUCAGGAUGGCUCCUGCUAAGGGCAACAAUCAGAAUCAGGAUCCGCCACCACCACCUCCACCUCCGGAGGCAUGGCAAGUUGUGAUGGCCGCUACCAAUGCAAACACGCAGCUGAUCAUGCAAAUUCAUCAAGAGCGCAACCAAGGGAAUCAUGGCCAUGCCAACAAUCAGAAUUAGUUUGCUACACUCAACCAGUUCCUUGCUAACCAGCCAAAGACCUUCAGCAAUUGUGUUGAGGCAACAGGCGCUAAUGAUUGGCUCGUGGACAUAUGCAAGCAUUUUGAGUGCAGUAACGUCAGGCCUGAGGACUUUGUCAAGUUUGCCUCCAUCCAACUCAAAGACCAAGCUGCAGAAUGGUUUCAGCAGUACAAAGAUUCCAGAGGAGGCCGUGCAAUUACCUAGGAUGAAUUUCGUCAACACUUCAAAGCUCAUCAUAUUCCUCAGAGUGUGGUUGAAAGCAAGCGUGAGGAAUUCCGCAACCUGAAGCAAGGCACUAUGUAUGUUUACCAGUACAACAUCAUGUUUCAGAAGCUCGCCCAUUUUGCUAAGUGAGACGUCCCUGACGAGAAGAGCAUGAUAUACCAGUUCAGGGGUGGUCUCAGAGAAGAACUCCAGCUAGCUCUCGUCCUUUUUGAGCCCAAGAAGUACGAUGAGUUUUACAACAUGGCAAUGAAGCAAGAGGCUGCCCAACUGAAGUGCGAUGCUUCCAAGAAGCGAGUCAGAGAUGCAACUCCUUCUUCCUCAACUCAAGUGGCUAAGCAGCAAAAGUACUGGCUUCCUCCUCCUCCGUUCCGUCAGCCUUAUCAGCAGAAGAGCAAAGGUGGCAAUGGAUCUUUCCACCUACCCAACCCUGGAUUUCAGAACAAGAGUUCGUCUCAAGCUCCAAGAUCAAGUGCUCCGUGUCACCGUCCGCUCUCGGAGGUCACGUGCAACAAGUGCCAACAGAAGGGUCACUAUGCCAACAAAUGCUUCGAUCAGAGGCGUCUUCCUCCUCCUCCCCCUGUGAGAUCUGCAAGUACAGCUGUGGUCAAGCAUAACCCCAAGCACGCCAAUGUCAACUUAAUGAAUGCAGCUCAGGCAGAGGACUCGUCAGAUGUCAUCAUGGGUAACCUUCCUGUUAACGAUGUUCCUGCAAAAGUACUUUUUGACACUGGUGUAUCGCAUUGUUUCAUCUCGAGACCUUUUGCAUCUAAGCAUGAGUUGUCUUCUCAAGUUUUGCAUAAACCAUUAGCAGUUGUCUCACCGGGUAAAUGUUUGCUCGCAAACUACGAGGUUUCGGAUAUUUCUAUCAUGAUGGGUGACUUCAAGUUUCUGGCUUCUCCAAUGGUCCUUGGUAACUCGGAUAUCGAUCUUAUUCUUGGAAUGGAUUGGCUUACUAAGCACAAGGCUCAGCUUGAUUGUGCCGCCAGGCAGAUUCAAUUGACUCAUUCAUCUAAGAAUGUAAUUGUCUUUGCCGCUCGGGAUAAUACAAUCCGUCUAUUUUCUCUCAAUGAGAAGGGCGAGCUAGAUGCCAUCUCUCAAAUUCCAGUCAUUUGCGAAUAUCAAGAUGUCUUUCCAGAAGAGCUUCUAGGAAUGCCUCCGCACCGGCCAGUUGAAUUCGUCAUCGAUCUUGAGCCUGGCACGGAACCUGUUUGCAAACAUCCUUACAAGCUUGGACCUAAAGAGUUGAAGGAGCUGAAGAAGCAACUCGAUAUUCAAGAGCGAAUGGGUCUCAUCCGACCUAGUUCUUCUUCGUGGGGUUGUGGAGAUAUUUUUGUGAAGAAGAAGAAGAAGGAUGGAACGGAUUGACUUUUUGUUGACUACUGUCCAUUGAACAAGAAGACUAUAAAGAACAAGUACCCACUUCCCAACAUCAAUGAGUUGUUUGAACAACUCAAAGGUGCUCAAGUAUUCUCCAAGCUUGAUCUCCGUAUGGGCUAUCACCAGAUUCGCAUUCGUGAGCAAGAUAUCCCCAAGACAACCUUCAGAACAAGCUAUGGUUCAUAUGAAUAUACUGUCAUGUCUUUUGGCCUCGUCAACGCUCCUCUGACUUUCUCUCGCAUGAUGAAUUUCAUCUUCAACCCCUACACAAAUGACUUCGUCUUGGUCUACCUCGAUGACAUUUUGGUCUUUUCCAAGAACAAGGAAGAUCAUGCUAGGCACUUGCGUUUGGUGCUGGAUAAGCUCAGAGAACAUCAGUUCUACGCCAAGUUUUCAAAGUGCGAGUUUUGGCUCGAUGAGGUUCUUUACCUUGGGCAUAUCAUUUCUGCCAAGAGCAUAGCGGUGAAUCCUGAGAAGGUGUCUGCAAUUGUGAAUUGGAAACCACCUCAGAACGUGAAGCAACUCCGCAGCUUCCUUGGUCUCGCAAGCUAUUGUCGAAGGUUCGUUGAGAACUUUUCAAAGAUCGCGAAGCCUCUUUCCAACCUUCUCUAGAAGCAUGUGAAGUACGUUUGGUCUCCUGAAUGUGACAUCGCUUUCAACACCCUAAAAGAGAAAUUAGUCACUGCUCCAGUUCUGACUCCUCCUGAUGAAUCCAAACCGUUUGAGGUCUUUUGUGAUGGCUCUCUUCAAGGUCUUGGUGCAGUGUUGAUGCAAGAGAAGAAAGUUGUGGCUUAAACCUCUCGCCAGUUGAAGCCCAAUGAAAAGAACUACCCCACUCAUGACCUUGAGUUGGCGGCAGUUGUGCAUGCUCUUUUAACUUGGAGACAUCUCUUAUUGGGAAGAAAAGUGGACAUCUUCACUGACCACAAGAGUCUCAAGUACAUCUUCACUCAGCCUAAUCUCAACCUCAGGCAGACUCGUUGGGUCGAAAUGAUUCAAGAGUAUAACCCGAGUAUCGCAUAUACUCCAGGCAAGGCCAAUGUAAUUGCUGACGCAUUGAGCAGGAAGGCUUACUGCAACAGUUUGAUUCUCAAGCCUUACCAACCCGAGCUGUGUGAAGCUUUCCGCAAACUCAAUCUGCAAGUUGUUCCUCAAGGUUUCCUCGCCAACCUCCAAGUUUCUCGUACUUUGGAAGAUCAAAUUCGCGAGGCUCAACUUCUUGAUGCUAUGGUGAAGAAGGUGAAGAUUGGUAUUGCCAAGAGUCAACCUAAGUACAAGUGAUAUUGCCGUGAUGACAAGGAUACUCUAUUCUUCGAGGAUCGCAUUGUUGUGCCUAAAGGUGACCUUCGUAAAGUCAUUAUGAACGAGGCUCACAAUUCUCUCCUCUCCAUCCACCCUGGUAGUACAAAGAUGUACCAUGACCUCAAGCAGUCGUAUUGGUGGACUCGAAUGAAGCGCGAAUUGCUCAGUUCGUGAAUGAAUGUGAUGUCUGCAGAAGAGUGAAGGAAGAACACCAACGACCAGGUGGUCUCCUCCAACCUCUUUCCAUUCUAGAAUGGAAGUUUGACCACAUUGAGAUGGACUUCGUGACUGGAUUUCCAAAGUCCAAGCGUGGCAAUGAUGCUAUCUUCGUUGUCAUCGACAAACUCACUAAAGUGGCACAUUUCCUUCCUAUCAAAGAGUCUAUCACUGCAGCUCAAUUGGCGGAGCUUUAUACCUCUCGGAUUCUCUCUCUACACGGCAUUCCGCAGUUGAUUUCUUCAGAUUGUGGCAGCAUCUUCACCUUGAAGUUUUGGGAUUCUUUUCAGAAGGCCAUGGGCGCCAACAUCCAUUUCAGCACAGCUUUCCAUCCUCAAACUAGUGGCCAAGUCGAGCGUGUCAAUCAGAUUCUUGAAGAUAUGCUCAGGGCUUGCGUUAUCUCUUUAGGUAUGAAGUGGGAAGAUUGUCUUCCAUAUGCCGAGUUUUCCUACAACAACAGCUUUCAAGCGAGUUCGGGCAAGGCCCCAUUUGAAAUUCUCUAUGGCAGGAAGUGUCGUACUCCUCUCAACUGGUAAGAGACUGGUGAACGUCAACUUCUUGGCAAUGACUUGAUCACAGAGGCAGAACAGAUGUGCAAAGUCAUUCGUGAUAACCUCAAAGCUGCGCAAUCGCGCCAGAAGAGCUACUAUGAUAGUAAGCAUCGUGAUUUGGCUUUCGAGAUCGGAGACCAUGUUUACCUCCGCGUCUCUCCAAUGAAAGGUACUCGUCGAUUCGGUAUCAAAGGGAAGCUUGCCCCUAGAUACGUGGGUCCUUUCAAGAUCGUCAGCAAGAGAGGCGAUCUCGCCUAUCAACUUGAGCUUCCCCCCAACUUUGCAAGCGUGCAAUACGUGUUCCAUGUCUCUCAGCUCCGCAAGUGCAUCAAGGCCCCUGACCGCAUCGUCAACUUUGAAGACAUUGAUCUCCAAGAAGACCUUUCUUAUCGUGAGCACCCCGUUGCUAUCCUUGAAGAAGCUGAGCGCAAGACUCGCAACAAGUCAAUCAAAUUCCUCAAAGUCAAGUGGUCACAUCAUCCCGACCGUGAAGCCACCUGGGAACGCGAGGAUCACCUCCGUUCUGAGUACCCGGAGUUUUUCCAGUCCUAGAUCUCGGGAUGAGAUCCUUUCAUAGUAGUGGAGUGUUGUAACACCCUGGAUGUAAUUUACCUUAUAUGUAUCCCAACUCUUGUCAUUUCCGGCACUAAGUUAUUCUAUUUCCUCGUUGUCAGGUUUUUGUCUCCGUGUGUUGUUGUCUUUGUCAUGCGUCUCAUAUCAUGUCAUCAUGUGCAUUGCAUUUGCAUACGUGUUUGUCUCAUGCAUCCGAGCAUUUUCCCCGUUGUCCGUUUUGCAUUCCGGCGCUCCUAUGUCCUCCGGUGGUCCUUUCUACCUCUUUUCAUGUGCGGGCGUUAAACGUUUUCGGAUUGGACCGAGACUUGUCAUGCGGCCUUGGUUUACUACCGGUAGACCACCUGUCAAGUUCCGUACCAUUUGGACUUCGUUUGAUACUCCAACGGUUAACCGAGGGACCGAAAAGGCCUCGUGCCCAACACCCUUCCAAACUGGCCCAAAACGCACCUAAACCUGUUCCAUCAUCUAGAGCGUUCGAUCACGAUCGUGUGGCCGCAAACCGCACCUCAUUUGGAGAUUCCUAGCCUCCUCUACCUCUAUAUAUAGGGCACCCCCUAAAAAUUCGCGGCUCAUUCUCCCCCUAACCCUAGUCCAUCAGCACCUCCGCCGCCGGACAAUGUCCGCCGCCUAGCGGACAUCAUCGCCGCCACCAACCGCGACCAGCCACCUGUCGCCCGCCUCCUCUCACUCCGCCGCGGCCCGCAAGGCCCGCCGCAGGCCCUCCCAGGCCCAAGGCGCGCGCCCCCGCCUCCUCUCGCCGAGCCGCCCCGCUCCUACACCGGGCGUCGCCACGCCGCCGUAGUUUUCCCGUGCCGGCCACCGCCCGCCGGCACCGCCAACCUCGUCGGUGCCCCGCCGUCUGCCGCCUCCGCCGCGCCGGGUCUCCACCUCGCCGCCCGGAGCUCCUCCACGACGCCCCGGCGAGCUCCACCACCGGAUCCGGCCGCCUCCUCCUCCACUCGGCAAGUUCGGCGACCCUCUGGCGAGUUCUUCGAUUAUGGCGACGAACCUCGGGAUCCGCGCCCGCCAGAUCUCAGAUCUGGAAAUAUCUUCUCGGUUGACUUUUUCCCUCAGCAACCCUACAUUUUUGCAUUUUUCCGCAUGCCAUAACUAUGCAUCCGUAGCUCCGAUUCAUGCGUGUAGCAUAUCAAAAUGUUCGACUCGACGAGUACAUUAUUUCAUCUCCUUGCAUCAUUUUCAUUUGAGCUCAUCUUGAUGCCCAAAAUGCUGUUGGAAGAGGGAUAUAUGAUGAAUUUGUCAGAUCUCUUUCGGCAAAUGGCCUUUUGUCAUUUUUGCCAUGAUUAAUGUGUGCAUGCUAUGAUCCUGAGCUCUACAUGUGUUUUGUAGAAUGCCAUGCCAUCUUUACAGGGGUAUAUGCCAUGUAUUUUUGUGAUCUAUGUGGUGACAAGCACAAGCAUGCAAAGUAGCGUAAUCGUUGAUGCUGAUUUCAGGGACUUAGAAUUUCACUAAGUCCUUGUCCUGUUUUUGUUUUUAUGCCAUAUGUUCAUGUUGUUUCCUAGUGAUUGUGCCUCUUUUGAGGAUGAUCAGUAAGGAUGUUUCGUUAAUAUUGUGGUGCUCUAUCCAUCCAUGCCUUUGUUUGUAAUUAUGGAGCACCCUAGCUUGAGUCAAACGAGCUCUACUUUUGCUAGAAAAUGUUCCUGGCAGAUUGUUGACAUGUUUAGCGAUUUUGCCGAGGAUGUUGCUAUUGACCCGUGCAUGCUAUGCUGUUGUUCUUGCAAUGACUAGCUUCUAUGCCAUGUCUUCUUGAUGCGUGUAUGCUUAGUUUGUCAUGCCAUGCUCUGUAGUGGGUGCAUCGAGCUCGUAAACAUGCCUACUCGUUAACUGUUUUGCAUGCUCCAGUUUUUCACUAAGUCUGAAUCUAUUUAUAUUUUUGCUAUGUUCACAUGCUUACAAAUGUAUUUUCUGAUCCCUUUUGGCUCAAGGUCACUAAGGGACUUUUGUUAUAUGCUUAGAGUAGAUUCAUGCCAUGCCUUGCUUUGCCAUGAUAUGUUCCUGUAGCAUGUAGUUUUCAUGCUCUAAAGAUUGCUUCCUGCUGAUAAAUUCCAGACGUGUUAAUUUCACUAAGUCUGAAACAUGUUAUUAUUUGCACUUUUGCCAUGCUUGUUUGAACCUAUUAAUGGAUGAAUUAGCCAUAGCUCAGUGUUCAUCUUUUGUUAAGCAUCAUGAGUGGAUCCCUGCCAUGUAUUUUGUUGUCAUGUUUGAGUGUUGUAGUAUAUUUAUCUUGAUGCAUUUAGAUGGCUACUUGAUGUUUAUCGCAGACCGGUGCCAUAUUUGUUUCGCUUGCCAUUUCCAAACGGUGCAUCCGAUUCCGGUGAUCUUUAUAUCGAUUUCAACCGAAAUCACCUCACCUUUCCAGUGGCACUCUUGGAUUUCCAUGUUGAGGCCAGGUUCAAUCAUUCUUUUGCAAAUCUUGCAUAUGCAUCACAUAUCGCAUCCCGCAUAGCAUACCAUGUUUGCAUCAUGUUGCUUGAGCAUUGCACGUGGUUGAUUGUGAUCCUUUUGCUUGUUGUUCUUGUUUGGGUAGAGCUGGGAGACGAGUUCGUGGACGAGGAGCCCGUUGAGUUUGCUUACGAGGAUCAAGGCAACUCUGAGUACUUUGCAGGCAAGAUGACCAUACCCUCGAAAUCACUUCUAUCUUUGCUUGCUAGAUGCUCGCUCUUUUGCUAUGCCUAUGCUACGAUACCUACUAGUUGCUUAUCAUGCCUCCCAAAUUGCCAUGUCAAACCUCUAACCCAUGAUGUCCUAGCAAACCGUUGUUUGGCUAUGUUACCGCUUUGCUUAGCCCCUCUUAUAGCGUUGCUAGUUGCAGGUGAAGAUUGGAGAUCGUUCCUUUUUGGAACAUGUUUAUGAUUGGGAUAUCACCAUAUUAUUUUGUUAUCUCAAUGCAUCUAUAUACUUGGUAAAGGGUGGAAGGCUCAGCCUUAUGCCUAGUGUUUUGUUCCACUCUUGCCGCCCUAGUUUCCGUCAUAUCGGUGUUAUGUUCCCGGAUUUUGCGUUCCUUACACGGUUGGGUUAUAAUGGGAACCCCUUGACAGUUCGCUUUGAAUAAAACUCCUCCAGCAAUGCCCAACCUUGGUUUUACUAUUUGCCACCUAGCCUCUUUUUCCCUUGGGUUUCCGGAGCCCAAGGGUCAUCUUUAUUUAAACCCCCCCCCCCCGGGCCAGUGCUCCUCUAAGUGUUGGUCCGCCUCGUCAGCCGUCGGUGGCCACCAGGGGCAACUCUGGGCUGGCCUACCGGAAGUUUGGACAAUCUGAGUGUGCCCUGAGAACGAGAUAUGUGCAGCUCCUAUCUGGAUUUGUCGGCACAUUCGGGCGGUGUUGCUGGACUUGUCUUACCAUUGUCGAGGAUGUCUUGUAACCGGGAUGCCGAGUCUGAUCGGAAUGUCUCGGGAGAAGGAAUAUCCUUCGUUGACCGUGAGAGCUUGUGAUGGGCUAAGUUGGGACUCCCCUGCAGGGAUUCGAACUUUCGAAAGCCGUGCCCGCGGUUAUGGGCAGAUGGGAAUUUGUUAAUGUCCGUUUGUGGAUAACAUGAAACUUAACUUAAUUAACAUACACCAACCGCGUGUGUUACCGUGAUGGUCUUUUCUCGGCGGAGUCCGGGAAGUGAACACGGUGUUGGAGUAAUGCUUGACGUAGGUUGUUCUAGGAUCACUUCUUGAUCAUAGUUGUUCGACCGUGCUUUUGCCUUCUCUUCUCGCUCUCUUUUGCGCAUAUGUUAGCCAUCAUAUAUGCUAGUCACUUGCUCCAGCUCCACAUCAUACCUUGCCUUACCUAUAAGCUUAAAUAGUCUUGAUCGCGAGGGUGUGAGAUUGCCGAGUCCCCGUGACUCACAUAUUCCUUCCUAAAACAGAUGCAGGGACCGAUGAUACCGCUCCAGACGAUGCGCUUGAGCUCAAGUGGGAGUUCGAUGAAGACUCUCGUCGUUACUAUGUGUCUUUCCCAGAUGAUCAGUAGUGGUGCCCAGUUGGGGCGAUCGGGGAAUUUGUCGCAUUUGGGGGUUUAUCUUUAUUUUAGUACCGUAGUCGGACCAUGAGUGUAUUGGAUGAAUGUAAUCUCAUUCAUGUAUUUGUGUGACGUGGCGAGUGUAAGCCAACUAUGUAUCUUUUCCCCUUUAAUUAUUUACACGAGUUGUUGUGAAGAUUACCUCACUUGCGACAUUGCUUUCAAUGCAGUUAUGCCUCUAAGUCGUGCUUCGACACGUAGGAGAUAUAGACGCAUCGAGGGCAUUACAUGAGGAGAUAUGGGAUCGGGGCGGUGUGUUUGGAUGGAGGGACCGGUGGAUCUCGUCUUGAUCAAACGGAUCUCGCCGAAGACGACGAAGAUGGCCGGAGCUCGAGACGGCGACGAGGAGGAGUGGCGGAGGCGGCAUCCGGCGACACGGGGUGCGGCGCAGCCAGCGCGGGAGGCGGCGGCCAAGGCUGGCGGCGGCNNNNNNNNNNNNNNNNNNNNNNNNNNNNNNNNNNNNNNNNNNNNNNNNNNNNNNNNNNNNNNNNNNNNNNNNNNNNNNNNNNNNNNNNNNNNNNNNNNNNNNNNNNNNNNNNNNNNNNNNNNNNNNNNNNNNNNNNNNNNNNNNNNNNNNNNNNNNNNNNNNNNNNNNNNNNNNNNNNNNNNNNNNNNNNNNNNNNNNNNNNNNNNNNNNNNNNNNNNNNNNNNNNNNNNNNNNNNNNNNNNNNNNNNNNNNNNNNNNNNNNNNNNNNNNNNNNNNNNNNNNNNNNNNNNNNNNNNNNNNNNNNNNNNNNNNNNNNNNNNNNNNNNNNNNNNCGAUCCGGCCCGGGACGGGCUCCUCAUGGGCCUGGCGGGCCACGGCGGAGGGAGGCGGCUGCGGGACACGUGGCGCGCCCUAAUUGGUGCGGAGGUGGCGGCGGCGCGGUAUGUCCGGCGGGAACCGGACGUGUCCGGCGGCGGAGAUGGGCGAUUUGCUAGGGUUAGGGUGGUUUUUGCCCGAAAUUUCGGGGGAGAGGGGUUUUAUAUAGGUAGAGGGAGGUAGGGGAGUCCAAAUGAGGUGCGAUUUUCGGCCACGUGAUCGUGAUCAAACGACCGAGAGGAUGGAGGGGGUUUAUAUGGGUUUUGGGCCACUUUGGAGGGGUGUUGGGCUUUAACACACACGAGGCCUUUACGGUUCCUCGGUUAUCCGUUGGAGUAUCAAACGAAGUCCAAAUGGUACGAAACUUGACAGGCGGUCUACCGUUGGUAUACCAAGGCCGUUUGGCAAGUCUCGGUCCAAUCCGAGAACAUUGAACACUCGCACACGAAAAGAGGCAAAAGGGGACGCCAGAGGACAUAGGAGUGUCGGAUCACAAAACGGACAACGGGGAAAAAGCUUGGAUGCAUGAGACAAACACAUAUGCAAAUGCGAUGCACAUGAUGACAUGAUAUGAGAUGCAUGACAUGGACAAAAAGCAAAACGAAGACAAAACCCAACCACGAGGGAAUAUCAUAACUUAGAGCCGAAAAUGGAAAGAGUUGGAAUACAAAUAUGGCAAGUUACAUACGGGGCGUUACAGUCUAGCCCUAGAGAUUGUUUCUUCUUACUUGUCCCUCUUGGGGAGCCCUGCCCCUCCUUAUAUAUGUUAGAGGGGCGGGUUACAUGUAGAGUCCUAUUAGGAUUAGGACUAGUCUACCUUCUAAUACUAACCGGAUACAAGUCCGGGUCUUGACUCCGUGUAAGGAAAAUAUUCCUCACGCCUUUCCUCUUAAACCAGCCCACCAUUAACAUAAACCGGCCUUUUGGGCCUUGGGCCUUGUCAUCCGUCUGUCCCGCCCGUCGGGUUACUAGUGAGUCAUAAUGUUCAGGCGGGUUGCAUGUAAACCGUCUGGUUAGGGCGGGUCACCAGUGAAUCGCCAAGUGUCAAUCGGGUUAUAUUUCCGGCUGGGUCAUACCGCGGGGUAUAUCCCCGAUAGCAACCCUACAUCGUAUCACUCACUCGUCGUAUAAAAUCAGCAACAUGAAAUGUUGCAGCCACGAAGGGUCAAUACUUUGAAUGUAUUGGCAAGUCACAUAGGGAAAUGAUAUAACAGACCAACUUAUAUAUGCAUGGUAUAUCAAGAGGAUAAUGUAGUGGUUGUUUUGCAGAAAGCUAGUUUUCCCUGAUAACUACAUAAUAUAAUAGUCAAAUUUUAAUUAUGUCUUGCUUUAGUUAAAUACAUAUGGCUGAAUUGGGAGCUCCAAUUCCAGCCUAUCCCAAUUAUUAAGUUUCCCACUUAAUUUUUUUAUUAAAGUUUAUUUGUCAAGAUCGUCCAACAACUGUGAUGACAUAGUCACUCAAAUUUGUCCAUAACCGGGGACAUGGCUAAUCAUGAUUAGUUUAUACACUCUCUCCAGAGGUUUGUACACUUUACCCACUGGACUCAACCCAAAGAUUGAGACAUAGUCUUUCAGAAGCAGUCGCCUAGUCCCACAGGACGCCCAUCCCAACUAUCAUAACUACAUCUGCUGGCACAUCUGGGUAAGGUCUCCACAUCUAAUCAACUAAGACAGAGCCCAUAUUAGCCAGUGGUUGUACAUGGAAGCUACUAGUCACUAAGUCUGUCUAAUAUUUUUGAGCCUGGACGUCACCCACUUACAUUCAGAGGGUAUAAACCAUGAUGUUCUUGAAACCACCCAGCAAUACCGUUCGGGCGCACUUAGCCAUGGUCCAUGCCCUUAGAAAGGGAACAAGAAACCAUGAUGCAUCCCUGUCCGUCCAGAGGUGAAUUAUAUAUUAUGUUUUUACUCAAGUUAUAUUAUAUGUAGUCCUCACAUAAUCUCGAUGAAUACACGAACCAAUCCCCGUCUACAUAGCAUAGCAAGAAUACACUACCACAUUCUACAAUAAGGCCAUACUAAAUGCAUCUCAAUAGAAAUAACAUGCUACCAUAAUUAUCCUACAACAAUGCAUAGUAUAGUAAUUGGAUAUAUAUAUAUAUAUAUAUAUAUAUAUAUAUAUAUAUAUAUAUAUAUAUAUAUAUAUAACUACAUGCAUAGAAAAAUAAUAGGUUGAAGUAUGAUCAAGGUGUAACUUGCCUGUAAGUUUGAUGAAGAUUGUCGCACUCACAAUCCUGAUAAUGCUACUCAUCAAGCUCCGAGAAAUCUAUCGUAAAUACAGAAUCCAGAUAAAUAACCAUUCCAUAUAGAAGAAUCAAAAGAACAACAAAACAAAUAUGGCAAGGUUAAACAAAAAUAAUACAUAUAGGCUUAAUAUAUAAUAUAGGUGUGCAUGGUGCUAUAAGGUGACAUGGUGAAGGAAAUGAACUCGAAAGAGUUAAUAGAUAUGGAAGGAUUUCUAUAUAGGAUUAUAUUUGAGACAAUAUGGAAUAGGCUCAAAAUUAUAUGGAACAAACAUGUUGUUGAGCAGAAAGCAUAUGAUAUAUGUGUUCAUUUGAAAAAAGAAAGAAUUAAAUAAGAGCACCACAAUCCAAGUUAUAGUGGAGCAAAGUUUGAAUUAAAUUUAAUUCAAAAUAGGUAAAAGAAUAUUCGAAUAUUGAGUGUACGGGAUAUGAGCAGCAAGUGUUUGGUACAAGUGUUCGUAGGCAAAAAGAAUCGGUUGGAAAGGUGUCACGGUUCACCUGAUAUGAUCAAAUGAAGUUUUGAAUUCAAAUUUGAAUUGCUCAAAUUUGAAAAGUUUGAACAAACGAAAUAUUUACUCUACAGGAUAGUAGAGGUCAUUGUGAUCAUGUAGGAAAAAGAAUCACUCGAUUUGGAUAUACGGAUCACUAGAUAUAGCUAAACGAAAUUGGGUUGAAAAUCUGUCAAAACAGAGUUUGAGCUGUUGCGGCUACUAUAGAUGUGGCCAUUUGUCGCGCUAGGAUUGGCAGAAGGGGGUUUGCGCGCGCGUGCUCACCGGAAGCAGGGGAAGAAGGCGGAGGGGUUCGAGUGUAGGCAGCGGGGCUUCUACAGAGAUGCAGAGAUGACGUGCGGUGAGGCAUGAUAUGGCAGUGGCUCUGGUGUAGACGGCAACGGCGAUUUCUUCAUCGGGCGGUGGUGGUGAUGCGCACGAAUUCGGGCGGGUUCUAGAGCUUUAGUUCUUGAUGCGUGUUCUCGAUCCGGUGCUCUGCUCAAGGGGAAAGUGGGUCAAGGCGACGCGGAGCAGAGGGAGGGAAGAGAAGGAGUAGUAGACGAUCGUGGGGGACCUUUGGUGGCGGAGAGUUUCAAAGGCGGCGGGAGCUUUGGGCAGCGGAGAUCGGAAAUCUUCGGGAGCUCGAUUUGGUGCGGUCCUGGGCAAAAACAAGGGGGGAGUGGUGCGUGAGUACAUGGGAAGUCUCGGUGAGGAUCGAGGCUUACUGGCAGCGGUGAAAUUCUUCGUUGGAGGAGCUUCGGGCAGCGGAGAUCCACCAAGUCGAGGAUCUCGAUUUGGAGCUCGGUUCCGCGAGGUGAGGAUGGGAAUCAAUCGAGGGGAGCCAAGGGAUUCGAUCUGUUUCAGGGCUUGUUCGGUUAAUCCUCCUUCCAAGAGGAUUGGAGGGGAUUGGCAAGGAUUGAGAUGUAUUUUGACUUAUAAGAGGUUUAAAUCUCCCUCAAACCCCUUCAAUCCCCUCGGAUCCACAUGCAACCGAACAAGGCCUCAACGGAUUUUGUCGAGGGGGUUCGGGAUUGCGCGGAUCAUGGAUUUGUUUUGGUUGUUGAGGUGCUGUCGUGAUGGGGAGGGAGGCCGAGCGGAGGUAGAAGAUGAGUAGUGCGCC